rnacentral:rRNA from 1 species
UACGAAGGGGCUAGCGUUGCUCGGAAUUACUGGGCGUAAAGCGCACGUAGGCGGCUUCUUAAGUCGGUGGUGAAAUCCUGGAGCUCAACUCCAGAACUGCCUUCGAUACUGGGAAGCUCGAGUCCGGGAGAGGUGAGUGGAACUGCGAGUGUAGAGGUGAAAUUCGUAGAUAUUCGCAAGAACACCAGUGGCGAAGGCGGCUCACUGGCCCGGUACUGACGCUGAGGUGCGAAAGCGUGGG